CUUAGACUGAAAGAGGAAGGCGGCACUGGUGCUGCAUGAAGCUAAUGAAAACGGCCCAGGAUUGUAAGUCAGACUGAGGACUGUGGAUAGAGCUGCAACUCAGGGAAAUAGGAAACAAGUGAUGUUGUUGGGGUGAGCAGGAAGGUGGGAAUCAGCAGGAAGGUAGGAGUGAGCAGGAAGGUGGGAAUAAGCAGGAAGGUAGGAGUGAGCAGGAAGGUGGGAAUCAGCAGGAAGGUAGGAGUGAGCAGGAAGGUGGGGGCACUCUCAAUUUCUUCCCAUAGCCAGUCCUGAUCUUAGGCAUCAGCUUUCCAGUCCUGUUAUUGUUUCUACUCUGGUCCUUCAAUAGAGGGAACAGAAGUCUUGAUAGUCCCACCCAACUGUUUGGUACACAAACUCCAGAUGCUUUCCCCACCACAGAGGAUGCCUGCUUCCUUCCUAUGCCAAACACUGCGGGCCAUCUCCAAGAAGUCUUAGCUGAUUAUUCCAGUUUGGAUCUGUCACUUCUCACUUCCUGUCAUUGCUUUUUCUAACUCCUGCAAAUGCCCCCAUCCCAGUUAAAGGGCUUCUGCAUUAGUCAAGAGGAAGAAAAUGGGGCCUGAACUAGAAAGAUGGCAGGGAAAGGAAUUCCUGGUUUGGAACACCUGCACACCUGGAUCUCCAUCCCCUUCUGCUUUGCUUAUACUCUGGCCCUGCUAGGCAACUGUAGCCUUCUCUUCAUUAUCCGGGCUGAUGCAGCCCUCCAUGAGCCCAUGUACCUCUUUCUGGCCAUUUUGGCAACCAUUGACUUGGUUCUAUCUUCUACAAUGCUGCCCAAAAUGCUUGCCAUAUUCUGGUUCAGGGAUCGGGAGAUCAACUUCUUUGCCUGUCUGGUCCAGAUGUUCUUCCUUCACUCCUUCUCCAUCAUGGAGUCAGCAGUGCUGCUGGCCAUGGCCUUUGACCGCUAUGUGGCUAUCUGCAAGCCACUGCACUACACCACGGUCCUGACUGGGUCCCUCAUCAGCAAGAUUGGCAUGGCUGCUGUGAUCCGGGCUGUGACACUAGUGACUCCACUCCCCUUCCUGCUGAGACGCUUCCACUACUGCCAAGGCCCAGUGAUUGCCCAUUGCUACUGUGAACAGAUGGCUGUGGUAAGGCUGGCAUGUGGGGACACUAGCUUCAACAAUAUCUAUGGCAUUGCUGUGGCCAUGUUUAUUGUGAUAUUGGACCUGCUCUUUGUUAUCCUGUCUUAUGUCUUCAUCCUUCAGGCAGUUCUCCAGCUUGCCUCUCAGGAGGCCCACUACAAGGCAUUUGGGACAUGUGUGUCUCACAUAGGUGCCAUCCUGUCCACCUACACUCCGGUAGUCAUCUCUUCAGUCAUGCACUGUGUAGCCCACCGUGCUGCCCCUCAUGUCCACAUACUCCUUGCUAUUUUCUAUCUCCUUUUCCCACCCAUGGUCAAUCCUAUCAUAUAUGGAGUCAAGACCAAGCAGAUUCAUGAUUAUGUGCUCAGUCUAUUCCAGAGAAAGAACAUGUAGAUGGAUAGUUCUUUUUUAUCCCACUUGCCAAGUAAUGAGAAUGCUAGAUUGGGGUUGAGAGGAAAAAUCUAAAUAGGAAAAUUGCAGAGUGUCUUUGGCAAUUCUCUAGUAUGACAAGGAAAAUGAGGUUUCAUUCCUCACAGAUCUACGAGUCAGGUCAAACCAGGAGUGCACCUAUAGUCUGGUCCAAUAGUAGAGGUUUGACCUUCCCAUUGUCAUAGACUCAUCACAUGGCUAAGGAAGACAAACCUCUCAAAGUGGUAUUGUAAUCUAGGUGUAAGACGGUAGGGAUAUUGGCUGAGUGGCCCAAACAGCUGAGUCACCUGAACAGGUGACUUCUUUAUCCAGGUAUGAGUGAGGAAAUGUACCACAAAUUUUGUGACCCCAAAAUCAUUAUUCCUUUUAGUACUGAAAUUACUCCCAUGUCUUUUCUGACAAGUACCCUCCACCCUUUGCCACUCUUUAUAGCCUACUAUCUCCCAAUUUUAUUUCUACAGUUAGACAGCUCCAUUUAUAAGUAGAUCUAUUUCUUCCAUUAAGUCAAUUCCUUUUUUACUUCCUUCCUGAUAGACAUGGCCAAUUCCUUUAGUGAACACUUAUCAAAAGAGUCCUCUGAUGUUCCUUUUUAUCAAUUUAUAUCAUGUAUCUAGCUUUUCACAUGCAUGUCUUUUGCCUCCAAAAUACUUAGUAAAUAUUUAUUAAAUGAAUGGAUAGAAUAACUGAAUAUGAUCUUUGAACUAUGGACCAUGAAAACAGAAAUAACACCCUUCCCUCUUGAAGCUGAGACUUCUGAAAAUAAGAAAAUACGAUACUGUCAUGCACUGCAUAAUGAAGUUUUGGUCAGUGAUGGAUCACCUAUAUGAUGGCGAUUGUAUAACAUUAUAGUACCAUAUAUUUACUGUAUUUUUUCUAACUUUUAAGUUACAUGUACAGGUUUGUUAUCUAGGUAAACCCACGGUAUGGGGGUUUUGUUGUACAGAUUAUUUCAUCACCCAAGUAUUAAGCCUAGUAUUCAUUAACUAUUUUUCUGUUUAAAUACACAAAUACUUAUUGUGUUACAAUUGCCUACAAUAUUGGGUUUGUAGCCUAGGAUCAACAGGCUAUACCAUAUAGCUUAGGUGUAUAGCAGGCGAUACCAUCUAGGUUUGUGUACUCUAUGAUGUUCACAGGUUGAUAAAAUCACCUAAGAACACAUUUCUCAGAAUGUAUCCCCAUCAUCAAGCAAUGCAUGACUAGUUAUACGUGAUUGUAGUUGUGGUAGACUAUAUUAUAGUCCACCAAUAUUUAGUCUCCUGUCCUUUUAUCAUGGGUAGGGUAUUUCCUUCACUCCACCAAUUUUAAACUUUGCUGUGUGACUUGAUUUAGCCAAUGAAAUUUGAGUAGCCCUGAAAUGUACUUCGAGAAUCAGAAAGUUUAUAAAAAAAUAACAGAUGCUAGUGAGGUUGUGGAGAAAAGGAAACACUUAUAUACUGCUGGUAGGAGUGUAAAUUAUUUCAUCCAUUAUGGAAAGCAGUGGGUGAUUCCUCAAAGACCUAAAAACAGAAACACCAUUUGACCGAGUGAUCCUUUACUGGGUAUGUACCCAAAGGAACCUAAGUUGUUCUACCAUAAAGAUAACAUGUAUGUGUACAUUCACUGCAGCACUAUUCACAAUAGCAAAGACACAGAAUCAACCUAAAUGCCUAUCAACAGUUGACUGGAUAAAGAAAAUGUGAUACACAUGCACCAUGGAAUACUAUGCAGCCAUCAAAAAGAAUAAGAUAAUAAGUAACAUGGAUGGAGCUAGAGGCCAUUAUUCUUUGCAAAUUAAAAGGGGAAUAGAAAAAUAAAAUACCACAUGUUCUCACUUAUAAGUGGGAACUAAACAAUGAUAACACAUGGACACAAAGAGGAACAACAGACAUUGGGGCCUAUUUAAGGUAGGAGGGAGAGGAUCAGGAAAAAUAACUAUCAGGUACUAUGCCUAGUACCUGGGUGAUUAAAGAACUUGUGUCACGGGAGUUUGUUGUACAAGUUUAUUUAUAUAACACACCUGCACAUGUACCUCUAACCUAAAAUAAGUUAAAGAGGACACUAUGAUAUUGGUGCAAAGAUUAAAUGGAAAGGAACAGAAAGACAAGAAGUUGCCUGGUCCAUAUAGACAUGUGUUAUUGCAGAGGUGUGUGAUACAUAUGCACCAUGGAAUACUAUGCAGCCAUCGAAAAGAAUAAGAUCAUGUCCUUUGUGGGAACAUGGAUGGAGCUAGAGAACAUUAUUCUUUGCAAACUAAAGUGUGCGUUAACUUUCCUCCUUUCUUUCCCCUCUGCUGCAAAACCCAGCAAAGUUCCAGUUAGAGGUUGUGACAAAGCCAAAGUCCACCCACAAUGAGUAAGAAGUGUAAAUGAGAAUAAACUUUGUAUUUGAGCUGCUAAAAAAAAAUUUAAACUUUAAAAUAUGGCUGGAAGGCUUGGUUUAUCUUUCAUUCUUUCCCUCUACCAGAAGAAUAAGCAUAUCACAGCCUAACUCAUGAUGAAGAUCCAUGGAGCAGAUGUGAAUCUGACUCAUUGCCUGUAGCAUAGUCAUAACUGACCCACAGUGUUCAUAUAGCAUGAACAAGGAUGAUUUUGUUGUUUUUGUAGUGAACCACUGAAAUUUGGGAGUUGUUUGUUUCACAGCCUUACCCAAGGAACACCAAUUGCUGGAGUUGUGAGUUCUAUCUUGCAUUUCAACUCAUGACAGCUCAAGACUGAAUAUUUAAAGAAAAUACAGUCUUCUUACAGCAUAUCAUAAGAUUAUUAAUUUCACUUAUCUCUGCUUUUAUCUUUCAAACUCUCAUAAUGAACUCUUCUUCAGUCAGUUCUACAAAAAGAAGCUCCCAUACAUACUUUUACAUGAUCUACUUAUACUGUAGGGACCAGCCCUACAGGGUCUGUGAGUUUUUCUCCUCGUGUGCAGAGAUGAGAGAUCAUAGAAAUAAAGACACAAGAUAAAGAGAAGAAAAGACAGCUGGGCCCGGGGGAACACUACCACCAAGACGCAGAGACCAGUAGUGGCCCCAAAUGCCUGGCUGCACUGUUAUUUAUUGGAUACAAGGCAAAAGGGGCAGGGUAAGGAGUGUGAGUCAUCUCCAAUGAUUGAUAAGGUCACAUAAGUCACAUGUCCACCGGACAGGGGGCCCUUUCCUGUUUGGCAGCCAAGGAGAAGAGAGAGAGAGGACAGCUUAUGCCAUUAUUUCUUCUAUGCAUUUCAAGGACUUUUAGUACUUUCACUAAUUCUGCUACUGCUAUCUAGAAGGCAGAGCCAGGUGUACAGGGUGGAACAUGAAAGUGAAACAGGAGUGUGACUGCUGAAGCAUAGCAUCACAGGGAUGCUGGAUGCUGGAUGCUGGAUGCUGUGGCCUCCAGAUGGCUGUGGGCAGGCCUGACUAAUGUCAGGCCUUCCACAAGAGGUGGUGAAGCAGAGUCUUCUCUAACUCCCCCAGGGAAAGGGAGACUCCCUUUCCUGGUCUGUUAAGUAACGGGUGUCUUCCCUAGGCACUGACGCUACUACUAGACCACAGUCCACUAGGUAAUGGGUGCCUUCCCAGGCACUGGCAUUACUGCUAGACCAAGGAACCCUCUAGUGGCCCUGUCUGGGCAUAACAGAGGGCUCACACUCUUGUCUUCUGGUCACUUCUCACCAUG
rnacentral:sRNA from 1 species